UACUCUCGUCAACUUUCAGAAACUUGGUAUCUAGCGCCUCAUGAACUGGUUGGAAGAACAUCUGACAUUGUAUGAAAUAUUUGAAGGGUGAUUGUUGCUCCGUGUUUUACCUCAAGUUGGGGGGAUGGAAUAGUGUUGUUGAGGAGGAAUGGGAAAAUUGUGUUAGCCUGUUAGGCAAAAGGCUAAAGACCUAACAAAACCGAUUAGGGACAGACCUAUCUGCUGAAUUCUGGUUGAGGUUAUAAACAUUAACAACAUUGAGCUUACCAUCUUUUGCUGAUACCGCAAGAAGAACUCCAAUAAAACCGAAGGUGAGAAAUGUAGAAGCUCCUACCCACACUCUCA